ACUCGACUCCUGUAUUUUCACAGAAAAUGACGGUGUGGAUUCUGCUCCUGCUGUCGCUCUACCCUGGCUUCACUAGCCAGAAAUCUGAUGAUGACUAUGAAGAUUAUGCUUCUAACAAAACAUGGGUCUUGACUCCAAAAGUUCCUGAGGGUGAUGUCACUGUCAUCUUAAACAACCUGCUGGAAGGAUAUGACAAUAAACUUCGGCCUGAUAUAGGAGUGAAGCCAACAUUAAUUCACACAGACAUGUAUGUGAAUAGCAUUGGUCCAGUGAACGCUAUCAAUAUGGAAUACACUAUUGAUAUAUUUUUUGCGCAAACAUGGUAUGACAGACGUUUGAAAUUUAACAGCACCAUUAAAGUCCUCCGAUUGAACAGCAACAUGGUGGGGAAAAUCUGGAUUCCAGACACUUUCUUCAGAAACUCCAAAAAGGCUGAUGCACACUGGAUCACCACCCCCAACAGGAUGCUGAGAAUUUGGAAUGAUGGUCGAGUGCUCUACACCCUAAGGUAUUCUUUUGCAAAAGGAAAGGAGUAAUUGUUAGGAAGGAAACAAACAAACAAAAAAUCAACCAUAAGUCUCUAAAAGAGAAAAAAGGGAAAUAAAUUUCAAGACUACAUCAGGGUUGGCAUGCUAUCAAAUAGUAUAUGACAUCAAAACAUUAGUUUUUUCUUUUUGUUAUCAAUGAGCUUUUUCAAAGCACUAAUUAUAGACAAAGCUUAUUUUCCACAACUGCUGUGAAAACUAUUUUUUGUCACAACUGACCAGAAAUUUCCUUUGUCUUGCAAGAUCAUCUGACCUUUGCCCCUACGCUUUGCACUCUUAUGCUUGGAAAUAUCUUCAUUUCCAAGGAAAUAGUUGCUAAAAGAGAAUUUUUGAAGUGUAUGUCUCCAUACAUCCUUCUCUUUUUAGCUUCACAAUAGCAAGCACCUAGAAUCUAUUAUCUUUCAUCUCCUGGCACCCCACUUCCCAUUAUGUUAAUAGGCUAUUUACAUUAAUUUAUUGUCUAUGUUGGGAAUAGACAUACUUGGGAGAAAGUUGAAGGAGCUAUGGUUCAGCAUCUGAAAUUAAAUUCUGAAGUUAAAUUGUGAAAUUAGAGUGAAAUGCUACCUUAAUGAAAUAAUUAUUUUAUGCCAUUAUCUUAUCACUUCAUACUUUGCAUUUAAAACAUUUUUACAUUGAAGUUUCUCAUUGGUGGGAGUACAUUAUUAGACAGAAUAAUAGAUAAGUACAUAGUCUUAUGAAUCAGACAUCUGACUUUGGUUCUAAGCUCUCUCUCUUACUAUCUGUAGGAACUAGGGCAAUGCUCCAGCAUUUCUAUAUAAAGGGACUUAGGGGCAGCUAUCUGGUAGCAGGACUUUUAGUGUUAGAAGCCUUGUUUGCAUAGUAAGCAUGAUGUUUUUACAUGGUUAUGUUUUUAUUUAGAAAAAUUAAGUGAGAACUGAUGGAAAUUAUUGGGAAAGAAAGCACAACCACGUCGUCCCACCCUGUUCUUCCUCUCCCCUCACCUUGACACCACAACUGAGUAGACUCUUUUACCUUUCAUUUCUUUAAUUUCUAUAAAACAGAUACAGUUCUUCUGACCUUACGGAGUUGCUAUAAGGACAAAAUAGGGUGAUAAGUAAAGUGAUUAACAUAGAGUCUGAUACAUAGUAAAUAUAGAAAAUAUUAAAAUUAUACAUUUUCAAUCAAAAUAAGAAUAAUGCAAUUCUAAAUCUUCAUAUCUGAGAUAUAUAUUUAUAAUAUAUAUAAUAUAUCUCAGAUAUAUAUUAUAAAUAUAUAUAUUAUAUAUUUAUAUAUAAUACUUGAAUAGGCACCAAAAUCUUUAUUAAUUAUAUCAGUUAUUAGAAAAAGCCACAAUUCCAAAAUAAAUUCAUUCCAGGCAUUUUAUAUUUAUCAUGGCUUUUGUAAACUUAGAGAUAUAGUAAUUACUGAAUUUAUUUUUACUUAUUUAUUUAUUUAUUUUGAGACAGGGUCUCACUCUGUCACCCACUGGAGUGCAGUGGCAUGAUCUGGGCUCACUGCAACCUCUACCUCCCAGAGGUUCAAGUGAUGUUCCCACCUCAGCCUCCCAAGUAGCUGGGACCACAGGCACGUGCCACUACACCUUGCUAAGAAUUUUUUUGUAUUUUUUUGUAGAGAUAGUCUCACUAUGUUGCCCAUGUGAUCUUGAACUCCUAGAUUCAAGCGGUCCACAACUCAGCCUCCCAAAGUCUGGGGAUUAUAGGCGCCAGCCAUGGCAUCUGGCCAAUGCCUGAACGUAGAAUCUAGUGGGUACAAAAUUCCCCUGAUACAUCAGAGCUCAGUCCAGCUUUUGAAAUAUGAAGUCAAUCAUACUAUCUCAAGUGUCUUUAUUGUUCUUAUAACAUUGUAGUCAUUUUGGGACUUAAUUUAUGGAAUCAUUACAUUAGUUAAUUAUGAAAGCCACCUCAAAAGUGUCACUAAUGGAGAUUCAAUCAAAGCUUGAACGGUUACCAGUUUACAUAGAGAGAUGAUUUUGCUCUGGCUAUCUAAAAUGAACUAUGAAUGUGUUUGUGUGUUUCGUGCAUGCCCAAAGACAUUUAGAUCUGUAUCUAUGUUUGUAUCUGCAAUUAUAUUAUUUUCAAUUUUAAUAAUUCCAAUUUAAUUUGGAGUAAUUAUACUAAUAAAAUAUCAAAUUUAAUUGUAGCUUCCUUUAUGAAUAAAACUAUUCUUCCCUUUGAAGAGCAUAUAAAUAUAUAGUAACAAUGAUUAAAACCUCCAGCUUUGAAGGUAGAUAAUCCUGGGUCCAAAUUUCAACUGUGCCUCUAGUUAUGUGACUUUGGACAAGUUCAGGUACAAUAAAUGCAUAAUAAUACUUAUUAAAUGAGGAAACAAUUCACUCUACCCAGUGUUUCAUAGUUAAUUAAGGGCUCAAUAAUUAUUAGAUAUAUUUUAACAUCAGUAAUUGCUCCAUUAUAUCAUAGAAUAAUAGAUUCUUAAUUGUUUUCAAUUAAAAAGUAUACUAAUUAGAAAAUCUCUUAAUAAAUUUUCCUAAAAUAAUACUUUUAUUACAUCAACAAUAUCUGUACAAUGUAAGAAUUAUAGCUAAAAAUAUGAAAUUUUAAAAAUCCUCA
rnacentral:sRNA from 1 species